AGGAGGGGAUGGCUAGCAUCCCAGCUGCAAGUGCUCUCAUUCAAGGUUUAUGCUACAGCCAGCAGUGUCCUUGGAGUCUAGUUCAAAGCUGAAGAGAACGAACUAUGGACCUGGGAGCCACUGGCCAAGGGGCCAGCCUAAAGGAAGUGAAGUGUUUCAGCCAGAAUGUACUGACGCACAACCAAGAAACCACAAGACUGGGUAACCACCAGUUGCCAUGCAUUAAAUCUCAUCAUCAUAUGGCAGGUCCAGUUAAUAGCUGAGACCAGCAGGCUAACUGAACCAUGUCCUGGGAGAUACAUGACGGAGAAAUUGGAAUAACCAUGGAGCACGUCAAAUCGAUUGCUCAGUAAUGGGAUAUUUUUCCUGAAAAGACAACAGAAUAAUUUUGAACAGCUGAUUCUGUCAUGGGCACAGGCUUCUAUGAACAGGAAAACAAAGAAAGUGUGAUGAAUUUUUCA